rnacentral:rRNA from 1 species
UACGUAGGGCGCGAGCGUUGUCCGGAAUUAUUGGGCGUAAAGAGCUCGUAGGCGGCCUGUUGCGUCUGCUGUGAAAUCCCGGGGCUCAACCCCGGGCGUGCAGUGGAUACGGGCGGGCUAGAGGCAGGCAGGGGAGAACGGAAUUCCCGGUGUAGCGGUGAAAUGCGCAGAUAUCGGGAGGAACACCGGUGGCGAAGGCGGUUCUCUGGGCCGUAACUGACGCUGAGGAGCGAAAGCAUGGGGAGCGAACAGG